rnacentral:rRNA from 1 species
GACGAACCGAGCGAACGUUGUUCGGAAUAACUGGGCUUAAAGGGCGCGUAGGCGGGCCGCCAAGUUCGAGGUGAAAUCCUCCGGCUCAACCGGAGAACUGCCUCGAAUACUGGAGGCCUCGAGGCGGGUAGGGGCGUGCGGAACUGUGGGUGGAGCGGUGAAAUGCGUUGAUAUCCACAGGAACUCCGGUGGCGAAAGCGGCGUGCUGGAUCUCUUCUGACGCUGAGGCUCGAAAGCUAGGGGAGCAAACGGG